UACGUAGGGUGCAAGCGUUGUCCGGAUUUAUUGGGCGUAAAGAUCUCGUAGGCGGCUUGGUACGUCGGAAGUUAAAACGGGAGGCUCAACCUCUUGUCGCUUUCGAUACUGCCAUGGCUUGAGUUUGGUAGGGGAUGACGGAAUUCCUGGUGUAGCGGUGAAAUGCGCAGAUAUCAGGAGGAACACCGGUGGCGAAGGCGGUCAUCUGGGCCAAUACUGACGCUGAGGAGCGAAAGCGUGGGGAGCGAACAGG
rnacentral:rRNA from 1 species